ACAGAGGUCCCGAGCGUUGUUCGGAUUUACUGGGCGUAAAGGGUGCGUAGGUGGCAGGGUAAGUUUGGUGUGAAAACUCCGAGCUCAACUCGGAAACUGCAUUGAAUACUAUCCUGCUUGAGGAUCGGAAGGGAGACUGGAAUUCUCGGUGUAGCAGUGAAAUGCGUAGAUAUCGAGAGGAACACCGGUGGCGAAGGCGAGUCUCUGGACGAUUCCUGACACUGAGGCACGAAAGCUAGGGGAUCAAACAGGAUUAGAUACCCUGGUAGUCCUAGCUGUAAACGGUGCACAUUUGCUGUAGGCGGAAUCGACCCCGUCUGUGGCGAAGCUAACGCGUUAAAUGUGCCGCCUGGGGAGUACGGUCGCAAGAUUA
rnacentral:rRNA from 1 species